CUUCCGUUUUAAUACACUAGUCGAGUGGAAAUUUUAGGCAAUGACGCUAAAUUUUCGAUACGAUUCGACUCUCGAAAAACGACUUGCAUUCGGCACGACUCUCGCAAUGAGGCUCCUUGCAUUGGAAACAGUUAUACACACUGGAAAUCAGUGUCGUCAGCAAAUUAAUUUGGACUUUCAAGUUCUCAAAGCUAC